CCUACGGGUGGCAGCAGUGAGGAAUAUUGGUCAAUGGACGAGAGUCUGAACCAGCCAAGUAGCGUGCAGGAUGACUGCCCUAUGGGUUGUAAACUUCUUUUAUAUGGGAAUAAAACGUUCUACGUGUGGGAUUUUGUAUGUACCCUAUGAAUAAGGAUCGGCUAACUCCGUGCCAGCAGCCGCGGUAAUACGGAGGAUGCGAGCGUUAUCCGGAUUUAUUGGGUUUAAAGGGUGCGUAGGCGGAUUGUUAAGCCAGCGGUGAAAGCGUGGGGCUCAACCCCGUCCAGCCGUGGAAAAUGGGGAUCUUGAGUGUGCGGGAGGUAUGCGGAAUGCGUGGUGUAGCGGUGAAAUGCAUAGAUAUCACGCAGAACCCCGAUUGCGAAGGCAGCAUGCCGGUGCACAACUGACGCUGAGGCACGAAAGCGUGGGUAUCGAACAGGAUUAGAUACCCCUGUAGUC
rnacentral:rRNA from 1 species